GACGAACGCUGGCGGCGUGCCUAAUACAUGCAAGUCGAGCGGACAGAAGGGAGCUUGCUCCCRGAUGUUAGCGGCGGACGGGUGAGUAACACGUGGGUAACCUGCCUGUAAGACUGGGAUAACUCCGGGAAACCGGAGCUAAUACCGGAUAGUUCCUUGAACCGCAUGGUUCAAGGAUGAAAGACGGUUUCGGCUGUCACUUACAGAUGGACCCGCGGCGCAUUAGCUAGUUGGUGGGGUAAUGGCUCACCAAGGCGACGAUGCGUAGCCGACCUGAGAGGGUGAUCGGCCACACUGGGACUGAGACACGGCCCAGACUCCUACGGGAGGCAGCAGUAGGGAAUCUUCCGCAAUGGACGAAAGUCUGACGGAGCAACGCCGCGUGAGUGAUGAAGGUUUUCGGAUCGUAAAGCUCUGUUGUUAGGGAAG
rnacentral:rRNA from 1 species